GGGGAUAUAGCUGAGUAGCUCAGUGCCUGCCUGGCAAGCAUGAGGUCCUGAGUUCAAUUCCCAGUACCCA
rnacentral:tRNA from 1 species